GCUCCGCUCUGCCCGCGGUUCAGGACCGCACCAUUCGGGCUUAGACAGGGUGGGUUGCUCCCCCCGACUUGGACUCGCCCGGCUGGCACCGGACCGAACCACUCAGCGCGGAUGGGAGGGGACGAUCAUCCCAGCCGCAUACAUCCUGACCUUAUCCCGCUGUCAUUGAGUGAUGUGCUGACCUCACUGCAUCAACAUAUCGUGCCAUGACCUCACCACCACAUUGCCAUGAUGUCACGUUGCCUUGGCGUGUUACAUCCUGACCUCGUCGUGUCACUAGCUGAGUUGAGAGAUCUGGGAUUUGCAGUUUAUAAGAAUGAAUUUUCUACUUGGGACAUGGAGAACGGAGAACAAUCCUUGGGUGGAAGGUGCUAUAGACAUGCUAAUGAUCCUGUUUAUCUGACCUGGAUUUCCAGGUAGGCUUCUGUCUCCAGGCCUAGUGACCACCAAACGUACCUAAGUAAUGAACUCCUUCUAAUGAGGCGAACUCUCACUGCUACAACUGCACAGUGAACCACUCAAUUUCCUGUUUUUGUCAGAGCAUGUUUCAUCCCAUGGACUCUUGCUCUUAGUCAUGUUAGUAUUAAAAGGACACUGAAAUUC